rnacentral:tRNA from 1 species
GGAGGAGAAGCGGCCCCGGUGGGUCGGCCGGACUUCAAACCCGGUUAGGGCUGCCCAGCGGCCCUAGGCAGGUUCGACUCCUGCUCUCUUCCG